AUGUUUAUUCCAUUUUCAUUGCAGGUAGUAAAAUAUAUUCCCUCAGUUGGACACUGCGGUAUGUCAAUCUUUUCAUGGUAAAAAUCGGCUACAUCAUUUUGGCGGGUACACUGCAGUAUGUCAAUCUUUCUUGUGUGCAGAUAAAAAUAAGAGCUGGUCUAAUGGAUGCCCACUUGUAUGCAUUCAAAAGGUGAUGUUGGUGAUGAGUCUAUGAUUCAAAGACCUUAUCUUUCUGAAGCUUGGGAGGUUCAUGAGAGGAGAAAAGAGAAGCCUUUAAUGAAAUGGAAAGUUCCUUCCUACUAUGAAGAAUGAAAUUGCUAUGAAAAAUAGUCUCAGAUUAUGGGCACACACUGUUGCUUCUACUGUUAGAUGAGAAUUGAGAGGAGGUGAGAAUUGUAAUGAUUUCUUAUUGUCAUAAUUUCAAUACUGAGAACUGUUUGUUCAGAUUUUUGGCCUUGAUUUUUAUAAGUUACAGGAACUGUUUGUUCAGAUUUUUGGCCUUGAUUUUUAUAAGUUACAGGAACUGUCUGUUCAGAUUUUUGGCCUUGAUUUUUAUAAGUUACAGGAACUUGCUACGACAUCUAAAAGAUGAAAAAGCUCGCAAGCUAUUUGACGAUCUUCUUCGCGUCAAGUUAUAAGUUUCUUAUCUAAUGUUGUUGGUUGAUUUGCUGAUUUGUGCUUGGGGCUUUUUUUCAAGUUGCUACAAUUGGGAAUGUGAUUGGUCAUCUUGCUAAUCCAUUGUUGGUUUUACCUCUUAAACCUGCGAUGCCCACAAAUUCUGUGCUUCUCCAAAGUCUGUCGAACUUGAAUUGCCGAGUAAACUAUUUGAGUAUGGUUAUCUGAGGAUUCUGUUCCGAUGAAACUGCAAAAGAAUAAUCCCCUAACUAUUCCACUUAGAUACGAAUUAGAAUGAGAAUAUACAAGUAUUUAUGCUUACUCACCUGCUGCCAUAAAAGUUGGUCCCUGGAGCUUACUCAAAGGUGCUUCUUUAAUAAAGUUAUUUCAUCCAAGUCAAUCCAUCUACUAUUUUGUUUUGCAUAUCAUAAUACAAAAUCUUUCAAUUGCCUAGAUUCUACCAAAUACUUGAUGAAUAGUCUUACUAAUUGAUGGCAGCUUGAUAGGUAGUGCAUUUUGGAAAGAAAGUUGUGGUAGGACUACUAAUGUUGACAAGUUGAUAGUUUAUGCAAAGAUGGUUUCCUCUCUCAGCAAGAAGGAUAUGCUUUUAGAUGAUGUUGCGUCAAUUAUAGUGUAACAUGAGUUAGAUUAU